rnacentral:lncRNA from 1 species
UUGUAACAAUUUUUGCUCGUUGCUCUUGCUCUUGCUCUUCAUCUUCUUGAAAUUGCUCAUUAAAUUCGGAUUCUUGAGUUGGAAUAUCCAAAUUUUCAUUUGGAAAACCCUCAAAAUUAAAUUGGUCGGGAAUCAUAUCAUAGAUGUCGUUUGUAGGGAUAGAUGAUUCUCCAAUUUUUCCCUUGCCCUUACCCGAAUUUGAGUUUCCUCCACUUGCCAUUAUAUGAUAA